GUUCAUCGUAAUAUUUAAUUAAUUAAUCGUUCUUAAACAACAUCUUUUAUUAAACAGCUUGGCAACGAUUGUCAACACAAUGGGUAACACUUGCUGCAAAUUUGCUCAAGAACACACUUUGGAGAAACAGACUUUGAUGCAAGACGCUGUGGCUAAUGAGCUCUCAUCAAGUCAAACUCAGAUCUCUGUCCAAUGUAAGGAGAACCCUGAGGGUCAAGACGGAAUAGUGCUGUUUGACACGGUGCAAGUCUUUCCCAUUGUCAACAUCCUUUGUCCUACCAGGGUAGAAGAUCUUCAUGAUGGUCAUAGCAAACAGCAGUAGAUCUCUCUCAUCGGUAUUCAAGGAAAUUUAGAAUUUAAAAAUCUUCUAUGUUUUCUGUGCUUUGAUAAGUUGGUGAUUAAAAUGUGAGAUGUUGAAUCAUUAAAAUUUAAAAGAGCAGUUGGUUAUUUUUUUCUAAAUCUGCUGUUUUAAUCUGUUCUCAAGGCUAGAACUUAUAAGACCACACACAAACAAACAGCAGUAUAGGGUUCCAGCGAGCACCAUCAAACCUUGACAGAAGCAUGCAGCACAUCUGUUCUUCAAUUAUUGGCUGCCUGUAACUGCCUGCAUCAAAUUCAAAGCUCUGAUGCAUACAGUACCACAUCUGUCAGCACCCUCUAAUCUAAGCUUGCUUUUUCAGAUUUAUAAACCCCUGUUGUCAGUCAGUGAGUGACUCCUCAUUGAAUCAUAUGAGGUUAUUUUCAAGUAUCUUUACAAGCCCUCGCUUUACCUUCAGACAGCAUUAUCCAUUACAGUCCAGGGGUCUCAUUUAUAAAACUCUCCGUAGACUUCAUCCUAAAAGUGUAUGUAUGCACAAAAGCUAGAUUUUGCGUACGCACAAAAGUUUUCAGAUUUAUAAAACCUAUACAUAUGCCAGAACCUGCAAAAAAUCCCUUUAUAAAUGCCAGUUAGGGGAAGAUUGUGCGUACGUGCAUCUCCACCCUGAAAUCACCAUAUAUGGAGCUUACAACGCCUAGUUUUACUAUGCAUAACCUCAUCUGCAUCAUUUCCAUGCAUAUUCCCAUUCACCUAACACCAUAUUUAGGUACAAGACAUUAAGGAAAUAUGAGAUAUGGACUAUAAAUGCCAUUUGUGCCAUACACAGUUUUUAUUGCUAAAAAUC